GACGAACGCUGGCGGCGUGCUUAACACAUGCAAGUCGAACGGGGCAGCAAUGCCUAGUGGCGGACGGGUGAGGAAUACGUAGGAAUCUGCCCUUAAGUGGGGGAUAACCAGGGGAAACCCUGACUAAUACCGCAUGAUCUCGUGAGAGCAAAGCAGGGGACCGCAAGGCCUUGCGCUUUUGGAGAAGCCUACGUCGGAUUAGCUAGUUGGUGGGGUAAUGGCCCACCAAGGCUACGAUCCGUAACUGGUCUGAGAGGAUGAUCAGUCACACCGGAACUGAGACACGGUCCGGACUCCUACGGGAGGCAGCAGUGGGGAAUAUUGGACAAUGGGCGAAAGCCUGAUCCAGCAAUGCCGCGUGUGUGAAGAAGGCCUUCGGGUUGUAAAGCACUUUAGGCUGGAAAGAAAAAGCUUUGGCUAAUAUCCAAAGCCUUGACGGUACCAGCAGAAUAAGCACCGGCUAACUCUGUGCCAGCCGCCGCAGUAAAAC
rnacentral:rRNA from 1 species